CACAUCAAAACCUGAGCGAAGCACCCCAGGCUGAGCAAAUCACCCUUGCCAAGAUAUGUUUUACUGCAAGGAAGAAUUUGACCAUUUUCUAUUGUAUUCUGAGAAAUAAGCCUACUACACCCAAGCGUUCAAGAGCAGAGCAGCAGCACCAGAGCUGCUCUCAGAGCUGGGCACUGCUGCGGCAGCCUGGAGGGGACGAGAGCCCCAGGAAUGUGGGACAGCAUCAUCCACAAAUCACCUGUGUGAGGGGUGUGCCUUGGGAAGGAUCAUCUGCCACAGGCAUCUUUUAUGGAAAAUCCUUUCCUUAGGGUUUUUCCUCCUGAGAAGCUGGGAG
rnacentral:lncRNA from 1 species